rnacentral:rRNA from 1 species
UACAGAGGUCUCAAGCGUUGUUCGGAUUCAUUGGGCGUAAAGGGUGCGUAGGCUGUAGAGUAAGUCGGAUGUGAAAUCCCGGGGCUUAACCCCGGAACUGCAUUCGAUACUGCUUUACUAGAGGACUGGAGAGGAGAUUGGAAUUUACGGUGUAGCGGUGAAAUGCGUAGAUAUCGUAAGGAAGACCAGUGGCGAAGGCGGGUCUCUGGACAGUUCCUGACGCUGAGGCACGAAGGUCAGGGGAGCAAACGGG